UGGUCUACAUUAGCUCCAUUGUCCUGCCUA
rnacentral:piRNA from 1 species